GACCAGUAAGGCAAUGGCUCACAUUUUAUUAUCUGAUGUCUUCUUCGUCUUCGUCGUCGUCUUCUUCUUCUUCUUCUUCUUCUUCUUCUUCUUCUUCUUCUUCUUCUUCUUCUUCUUCUUCUUCUUCUUCUUCUUCUUCUUCUUCUUCUCCUCCUCCUCCUUCUCCUCCUCCUCUUCCUCCUCUUCCUCCUCCUCCUCCUCCUCCUUCUUCUUCUGCUUCUUCUUCUUCCUCCUCCCCCUCCCUUCUCCUCCCCCUCCCUCCUCCCUCCUCCCUCCUCCUCCUUCCACUUUGAGGACCCUUCUGGUGAUUAGAAGGGACUCCUUGCAUAAAGAGGUGGCAGAGAUCUGCAUGUCUCACAGUUUGCUUCUGUGUCUGGCUCCUUAGGUUUCAGAUCACACCUGCCCCUCAUCAGCUCUGUAGAAGAAGAAUGUGCCCAGUUCCAGGGCUUAACAGGCUGCACAGCUGCAAAGCCCUGGAUCCACCUCCUUGGCAUCAUGGCCCUCAGUUGCUCUGCUGUCACAAGACCUCUUUCUCACGGUUGCCAGCUCAGCCUGCUCUAUGAUGGGGAUCAAAAGCAGAUUUAAAAAGAAAGAACGAACGAACGAACGAACGAACGAAAGAAAGAAAGAAAGAAAGAAAGAAAGAAGGAAGGAAGGAAGGAAGCAGACUUUUGCUGUUCGAAGAAAUGCUUGGAGGAUUAUCUCCAUUGUACUCAGGUGCUUCAAGUAGACCCUUCCUUCCUCCCUCUCUCUCUCUCCCCCUCCCCUCCCUCUCCCUCUCCCUUCCUUCCCUCUCAAAUGUCUUGCUUGUUCUUAUCGGCUUGGCACGCUCGGAGGGUGACCAGGAGCUCACCAAAGCAAGAGCUUUGGGUCCCAGUUUUUCUUUUACAUCAUUUCACAUCUUUUUACAUCAUUACAUCUUUUGCAUCAUGGCUAUUGUCCAGGCACUCAGGAGUCUGAGAAGAAGGAUCACUGUGAAUUCCAGCCUGGGCUACAUAGUGAGUUCCAGGGCAGUCUGGGCCAGGCUGGGAAUUUGGCUCAAAAUGCCACAGAGAAUGGCUGUAGGAUCAUGCAUUCACCAACUGCACCGACUGGGCUCUGGGUUAAAAGAGAUAAGUAAGUAGUUUAGAAAGGAGAACAUGACGCUGGGAAGGAGAGGCAAUGGAAGGUCCAGGUGGUGGUGGACGUGACCAGGGUAUGUUAUAUACAUGUAUGGAAUCUUCAAAGUUUAAAGACUGAAACACUCAGAAAGGAAAGGAUUCCCAGCUGAAUAGAGCCGACAGCAGGUGGUUGGUGACUAUGUGGUCCGCAGCUUCAUCACCUGUCCUGUGAGCAGGGAGAGGCCUGGGAAGUCCUGGCUGGAGCUCAGGUUCUAUGGCUUUGUAGUAACUCACAGGGAUGCCUUAGGACCACUGGGGGUAAAUGCUUUUCACGGGAAACUGUAAUAAUUUUAUUCCCAAAAGAAAUAGAUUUGUCAGAAAAUAAGUAAGCUUUAACCAUUAAGUAAGCUUUAAUUACUGAUACUAUUAUAAAUCUUCAGAGAUUUAUAAGUCAACCAGACUUGCCUCUAAAAAGCUUCAAAGUGAUUUUUCUUUACUAUUUGUGUGUGUGUGUGUAUGUGUGUGUGUGUGUAUGUGUGUGUGUAUGUGUGUAUAUGUGUGUAUGUGUGUGUAUAUGUGUAUGUGUGUGUGUAUGUAUGUGUGUGUGUAUGUGUGUGUGUAUAUGUGUGUGUAUAUGUGUGUGUAUGUGUGUGUGUAUGUGUGUGUAUGUGUGUGUAUGUGUGUGUGUAUAUGUGUGUGUGUAUGUGUGUGUGUAUGUGUGUGUGUGUGUGUGUGUGUGUGUACAAGCUCAGCCACUGUAACCCUAGAUCCAGAGGGAAUCAAAUGUCUCUAGCCUCCUGAGUCAGCUUCAUUUCUCUGUCGCAUAAUUCACCUCCGCAAACCCGCAAACCAUGGAGUUGAAUACCUGCCCAAAUUACACAGUGUCUGGCACAGGCAAAUACUCAAUAAAAAUGUAUUGCAAGAAUCGUAGCAUUCACUGUGCCUCCUCUUGUGGAGACUGGAUUCUCUAUAUUUGGAAGAGGUUUAGCCAGAGCAGCUGAUCUUCAUUGUACAGUAGGCGUUGUCUGCUGAGUGGAAGCCCAACAAAGGACAGUGCAGAACACCGUGGGCUUGUUAUCUAGUAUUGCGUCCACGGGAUCACGUGAAAGAAAAGUGGAAACCUGCAAGCGAUGAACCAGGUUCCUAGCCUCUCCCUGAGAGACUGCAAGGGAGAAUGUGCUGGCAACUUGGGCACACUAAUGACUCCAGAAAGAGGAAUGGGCUCACAGCAGACAGAUGACAACCUGUCUGGACCACAUGUACAGCCUGGACUCUUCCUCCUUGGAGUUGCUGUAAGAACACUCCUUAAAGCUGGAGCCACGGCUCAGUGGUUAAGAGCGACUGGCUACUUCUUCAGAGAACCGGGGUUUGAUUCCCAGCACCCACAUGGCAGCUCACCAUUUUCUGUAACCCCAGUCCCGGGGAUCCAAAGCUCUCUUCUGACAUCUGGAGGCACUUCAUGCAUGUACAAUAC
rnacentral:lncRNA from 1 species